rnacentral:lncRNA from 1 species
CGUAAGGCGGCCCGGAAGCUCCUGGCGCCUGGCAACCGGCGCGCGUCGGGCGGGCGGGGCUGCGGCAACCGGUGCGGCUCGCCGGACCGGGCGGGGCUGAGUGGCGGGCGAGCCGCGCUCCGUAAGCGGAGCGUCGCCGGGCUGCGGAGAGCCGAGCAUGUUCGCUCCGAGAGCGGAGUCCGCACGAGCGCUGGGCCGCCCUCCCUGCCCCGCUGCCGCGGCCAGGCCAAGCGGGGCGGAGGUCUCCCGCGUUGUCCCCUGCCCCCGUUGACCCCGCUGCGGGAGCCUCAGAGGGCACCACCGCCACGGCCCAAGCAUUCGAAGAAGCCCCUCUCCUCCAAGGUGGAGCUGCGGGGACAAAUCUCACUUUCAUCAGCACUGUUGGAAGAAGAAAAAAUGCCAGUCCUGUCUCCGGAAAUCAAAUUUGAUACUUCCAAUGUUACCAGAAAUUCCUUUGACAGUUGUUUUCUUUUUGAGAGUAGUUGGAGGAAAGCAGUUUUAGAAACACAAAAGAUGAAGAAAGAAUACACCUUUGGUCUAGAAGAGUUCAAAGAAUGUGUCAAGAUGCCGUAUUUACCAGGACUGCAGAGUUGCCCAAAAAGUGUAAGUUCAACUCCACUGGAAGUUCGUCAGAGACUGCGGCAGGCUGACCCCGAGAUGUGUCCAGUCAGGAUAAGGAAGAUUAAGGAGGCCCGCACUGUGGUACCACUUCAGGAGAAAACAAAGGGAUUUUUAAGGCAUUCUAAUUCUUCAAUCAACUUUGGUUCUGGCUUCAGUGAUCCUAUUGCUGGAGCAUCAUCUCAAUACUUACAGAGACUUUCCAAAAUGGCCAUAUUGGAGUAUGAUACCAUUCGUCAAGAAACUACUAGAAAAUCCAAAAAGAGCAAGAAACGAGACCUGCGAGACUGCUGAUAAGUAUCACAUCACAUGCAAUGCUUUCUUCACUGAUGUCUAAGGUUUAUAUAUAUUUUCCUUUCUUUUUCUUUUUUUGAUAUGUGGUAUGAUGUGCAAUGAUUUACAUAAAAAUGGAAAUGUAAAUAAGAAAUAAAUAUUUUAUGUAAUAUACAGAAUCAUUUG